AUUGAACGCUGGCAGCAGGCCUAACAAAUGCAAGUCGAACGCCUGGCGGCCGGGUGAGUACUGUCUGGGAAACUGCCUGAUGGAGGGGGAUAACUACUGGUAACGGUAGCUAAUACCGCAUACCAUCGGAUGUGCCCAGAUGGGAUUCGCUAGUAGGUGGGGGAAAGGCUCACCUAGUCGACGCUCCCUAGCUGGUCUGAGAGUAUGACAAGCCACACGGGAACGGAGACACGGUCCAGACUGCUACGGGAGGCAGCAGUGGGGAAUAUUGCACAAUGGGCGCAAGCCUGAUGCAGCCAGGCAGCGUGUAUGAAGAAGGCCUUCGGGUUGUAAAGUACUUGCAGCGGGGAGGCGUUACCCGCAGAAGAAGAACCGGCUAACGCCGGGCCAGCAGCCGCGGUAAUAC
rnacentral:rRNA from 1 species